rnacentral:rRNA from 1 species
CCAGCCCGCUCAGAAACUUAAAGGAAUUGACGGGGGCCCGGCACAAGCGGUGGAGUAUGUGGUUUAAUUCGAUGCAACGCGAAGAACCUUACCUGGUCUUGACAUCCCGGAGACCCUUAGGAAACUAGGGGUGCUUCCAUCUGGAAGAAUCUGGAGACAGGUGCUGCAUGGCUGUCGUCAGCUCGUGUCGUGAGAUGUUGGGUUAAGUCCCGCAACGAGCGCAACCCUUGCCUUUAGUUGCCAGCAGUUCGGCUGGGCACUCUAAAGGGACUGCCGGUGUUAAACCGGAGGAAGGUGGGGAUGACGUCAAGUCCUCAUGGCCUUUAUGACCAGGGCUACACACGUACUACAAUGGCCGAUACAAAGGGCAGCGACACUGCGAGGUGAAGCCAAUCCCGUAAAAUCGGUCUCAGUCCGGAUUGGAGUCUGCAACUCGACUCCAUGAAGUUGGAAUCGCUAGUAAUCGUGGAUCAGCAUGCCACGGUGAAUACGUUCCCGGGCCUU